GCUAUGUGCCUGAAAGUAAGGGUCACUUUGAUAGAGUGAACAAUAGGGGUUUAAGCCCCCUCAUAUCCU
rnacentral:tRNA from 1 species